UUAUCUCCUUUAUUUGGAUGAGUUGAAACCUGGUAGAAUUGCUCACCUGUGAACACAGAAAAUUGGAAAUUUAACCAAUGAAGAAGCAGUAAUUAUGCCCAAUCUUGGUGAUGAGAUGGGACCUGAAGUCAGCUGCUGAAGAUUCUGAAGAUGGUUCCUAGGAGCAGGUGAAGAUACCCACAGAGCCUCUUUGUUUAUGGCCUCUUCAGCACUCUCCAGGAUCUCUGGUUAGAGACAGGAAGAAAAAUCAGUGAAAGAGAUUGAGAAGGAGCAGUCAGUAGAGGAGGAGGAAAACCAAGGAAAUACCGUGCUGGAGAAUCCAAGUAAAGGACAGCUAAACAGGAAGGGAUGAUCAGUUGUACCAAAUGCUGUGCUAGGGGAGGUAGAGUGAGGAGAGAGAAUCGAACGUUAAGUCGUGAGUUAUCAUUAUAUACUUUAGAACAUUAUUGUAGCUUUUAAACUACACAUAUUUGUGGACAAAUCUUUUCCCAUUGGCUGGAUUACGAUCUCAGCAAAUCCUGUUGUUUUUACAUAUUCUGAGUA